rnacentral:rRNA from 1 species
UGGCAGCCGUAGCGCGGUGGUCCCACCUGACCCCAUGCCGAACUCAGAAGUGAAACGCCGUAGCGCCGAUGGUAGUGUGGGGUCUCCCCAUGCGAGAGUAGGGAACUGCCAGGCA